GCCAUAACGCAAUGGUAGAACAUCUGCUCUGCAUGCAGAAGGUCCCAGGUUCAAUCCUUGGCAGGCA